UACAGAGGGGGCAAGCGUUGUUCGGAAUUACUGGGCGUAAAGGGCGCGUAGGCGGCCCGCUAAGUCGAACGUGAAAUCCCCGAGCUCAACUCGGGAACUGCGUCCGAUACUGGUGGGCUUGAAUCCGGGAGAGGGAUGCGGAAUUCCAGGUGUAGCGGUGAAAUGCGUAGAUAUCUGGAGGAACACCAAUGGCGAAGGCAGCUCGCUGGGACGUGACUGACGCUGAGACGCGAAAGCGUGGGGAGCAAACAGG
rnacentral:rRNA from 1 species